rnacentral:rRNA from 1 species
CCGAUGGAGGGGGAUAACUACUGGAAACGGUAGCUAAUACCGCAUAACGUCGCAAGACCAAAGAGGGGGACCUUCGGGCCUCUUGCCAUCGGAUGUGCCCAGAUGGGAUUAGCUAGUAGGUGGGGUAACGGCUCACCUAGGCGACGAUCCCUAGCUGGUCUGAGAGGAUGACCAGCCACACUGGACUGAGACACGGUCCAG